CGAUUCUUUCUUUCAGACAAAGUGGUAAAGAAGGGGAAGAAGGAUAAAAAGACCAAAAAGUCGUUCUUUGAGGAACUGGCUGUGGAGGAGAAACAUGCCAGUGAGGAGCAAGCAGUUGAGAAAGAGCAGCAGCAGCAACAACAACAACAACAGCAGCCCCAGCAAAAGAAGCGACGAGACAAGAAAAAAGACAGAAAGAAAAAAGAUGCGGAAGACGACGACGACGAGAACCAGCUGAUUGAGCGGCUGAAGAAGCUGUCGGCCCAAGCCAGCGAUGAGGAAGAGGAAGGUUGGAGGCUGCGAUCUUAGGGG